GCAGCCGGGCUGGGCUGCGGCUCCGGCUCGGCCUAGGGCUGGGCACUCUGAGGCCGAAGCCCGACUCGCAGGUGUCUCUAGAGGUUUGGGCCCCGGCGGCCCCACGAGUCCCGGAGCGGCCCCGGGCCCGCCCUGCUCUUCCCGGGCCCUCCGCAGCAGCUCCAGUCUGAGGAAACCCGCUGGCUGUCGCGUUCCCAGGAGUCACGACUUUCUGGGGGCCGGGCUGGGGGGGGAGGAGGAAUUCUGCCCAGACUCUGCAGCAGUUGGUAGCAGGCAAGCUUUCUCCUGGGUGUCGCCUGGAAAGUUGCAAAAUUGCUCUUCACCUGUAAGAACAUGCUCUUUAUCUUCCAGUCUCUUCUUGUCAAUUUGGAAAUUGCAGACAGCCUGGCUCAGUAACAACUCUGUACAUUGGAUAUAAUUAUUACAUUGCAUAGAUGAGAACAUGAAUUCAGAGAUGUUUAUUCGUGCCUUCAAUAAGUAUUUAUCUGCGUAGCAAAUGCCAUGGACUAUGCCGUCUUUGGGGAUCAAAUGCAGAAGAGAUCUACCUGUUCUCUGAAAGAAAUCACCAGGACAGUGGAAAUGGAUCUACCUCUGGUGCUGGUGCAGUUACUGGAUUGAUCUUGCAGGCUGUGCGUGGGCUGCAGGUAACUCCCAACAGGUUAGCAAGGCUGUCUGCACCCACCGCCCUGCACCUCUUUCAGAACUCUUUUGUGUAAGCUUUGGAGACUAAGAACCUCGUGAUUUUUGUUGUGAUGAAGGAAUUGUCAUUUCUAAGGAUAUCUGGUAUUAGUUCUGUAUGUUUCCCUUCCAGUUGGAGAGUGUCCCAGCUGCCCACCUACACCCAACCACAUACCUCGUCCACGCAGACAUACAGGCAAGGCCUCAAACAGGGCUAUCCACUAUCGCUGAGUGUCAACAGGUACCAUAGACUCACAGUUCAGGCUCUUCCAUUGGGAAACCAAUGUUGAUGACAGUGGCUUUGGUCCAUACAGUGCUACAGUCUAGUUUAUAGCAGACAGGAGUUAGGAAGUUUAAGGUUAAUAAAAUCUGAACCUUGCCCACCCCUGAUGAUAUGAUUAUUACCUGGUGCAGCAGACUCCACUUGCUAUGAGAAUAUUUUACUGUGUACUUGUGGGAGAGAUAGGAGAAGAAAAGACUUCUAAUGGACAAUAAUUUACACACACACACACACACACUGGGGAAUGAACCCAAGGGGACGCUCUACCAUGAAGCCACAUCCCCGGCCCUUUAUUUAUUUAUUUAUUUUUGUGGUGCUGGGGAUCGAACCCAGGGCCCUGCAUAUGCUAGGCAAGUGCUCUACCACUGAACCACAACCCCAGCCCAGAUGCAUAUUGUUUUGAUCACCAAUUUCCAUCUGAUUUCCUGACUCUGUUUAAAGUAAUUAUUCUUGCUGUCAUAUUAGUUAUCUUAAUUUUGCAUGUUUUAUCAAUGACUACUACUCCCCUCAAUUCAUCUCUGCCCUUGCUUGAGCAACCUAUGAUCUUUGAGGAUUUGGGUCUAAAUUCAGGUUUUAUAGCUCUGAGACAUCUGUAGAACUACCACUGAACAAGCUCUCCUGAGUGCACCCUCUCACACUAACUGAAAUUGAGGUCUCUUCCCAAUUACCUUACAUCUUUCUCUUCCUCACCAGAGGCAAGAGUACCUGCUUAUGACACAUCAGCAAAGGUAUCUCUUAGGAUGUGGGUGGGCAACCUCAUUUAAGAUUCUACAGGCUUCUGGCCAAUCCAUUACUUGAAGAAUAAGAAACGUAGAGGGAAAAGUUGGUUCAAGCGAUGCUGAUACACUGCUCAUUAACUGGGAGACAGAAAGGAGUAAAAUAGGACUUUUCUGAUUAUUUCAUUCAGGUCCUCUCUCCUACUUCCCCACUCCACACUCCUCCCCCAUCAGACAUUUAGAGUGAGAAAGAAAGGCACUUUGUGUUUAAGGUUAAUCAAGUUUCAGUACAAUUUUUUUUUUUUUUUUUUACAAACUAGAAUCACACUAAUCUUUUUCUCUUGCUCUAAUGUGUGGCUGUUGAAAUCCUCAGCUGUGAUAAAUUAAGCUACUUAUUAAUCUAAUUAUCGUACAUUCAUCCUAGAAACUUUCAUGUGACUUGAAAAGGCUAUUCAACCUUUUCCCUCCCCUCCUAGAAAGGGCUCAACCUUGCACCAAUUAAGAUCAUUCUGAAGUAAGGCUUUAAAAAAGCUUUCUCUAAUCACCCAAUGGAACAUGGACCAGUGGAAACCAAACUCAGAGCUCUGGGAAAAAGUUUAGCAUUCCUUUCUGUCUGCCAACUUUUAUGGUUUCAUUGCACGGGGAGGAAGACUUCAUUUUCCUAUUUAGUUGUUCUUUCGCUGACCUCCAAAUAAAGUCCAUGUAAUUACUGAGCAAAUAAAGUUGCAGCAUGUGUUUUAAAAAUCAAUUGCCAUUCUUGGUCUAUAGAAAUGUAACAAUGCACAGAUUUGCCGGAAAAUGCCCAGCACCAACCGUAUGAACUAAACCCUGUACUGUAUCCGUACAAUGAAGUCGUUUUGACCCCUAAAGCACAUAUUUACUAUGCAGAUUUUAAAAAGGGCUUCUUUUAUGACUUAUCUAUUGAUAUUAAAAUGUCCCCAUCCUAAUAUAGGUUCAAUUUAGGAUUAAAAAUAUGUUGCAAAUGUAUCAUAUCUUAAACAUCCAUUCAUUGCCAAAUGCCUUACUUCUCCCCCGCCCAAUGAUGGCAUAAAUGGAGCUAUUUUACAUUCAAAUUAAACUAGCUAUUAAUUUGAAUGCAAAGCAGCUCAAUGUACAGGAUGCGAUUUCAAUGACAGGUUUACCCCAAGACAGAGAGCAGGAAAGAGUCAACAUGGGUAAGUCCAGGCAGUUUGUCCCUACUCUUGGUGCCUUGCAAACUUGCUCACUGUGAACAGUUUUUGAAGUGAAGAUUAAAAGAGUGGAAUUAUAAAGUAUAAUUACAUUUUAUUGAAACUCUAGAAAUCAGAAAAAAUUCAGCAGGAAACUUUUAGUGAAACAUGAUGUGUUGUCAUUAUCAUUAAAAGAUAAAAGUUC